GCACCGUUUGGUCGACUGUGUUUAUGACAAGUCGAUUAUCGAGAGGAGAGACAUUGUUGGUUCAUGGAGGCUCAAGUGGAAUUGGUACUUUUGCCAUUCAGAUAGCUAAACACCAAGGAGCAAGAGUAUUCAUUACUGCAGGUAGUGAAGAGAAGUUAGCUGUCUGCAAAGACCUUGGAGCAGAUGUGUGCAUCAAUUAUAAGACUGAAGAUUUUGUUGCACGAGUGAAAGAAGAAACAGAUGGAAAAGGUGUGGAUGUUAUUCUUGAUAGUAU
rnacentral:misc_RNA from 1 species